ensembl:lncRNA
CUCCAAAUGCAUGGCGCUUAGCUUCUGGUGAGACAGAGAGACAAUAAAUGUGAUAACUAAAUAUAGUACAGAGAAGGCUGGGAAAUGAUCGUUGCCAAGGAAAAGUAGAAAAACAAAACCGUGUGACAGGAAACUGAAACAGGUGGUUACAGAGAAGAGGGUUGGAUCCCCAGGGUGGUUUCAUUCAGAUCUGACCUCGUGAUGAUCUGGAAGGAACAGGGAAGAACGAUCGUCGAAGCUCUGAAUAUCAAUGUGUGCAACAGGUUGACAAAUAAGGACUUAAAAGAAGGAACUAGAGAGACUUAAGUCACUGAACGAAGGAAAUAACCAGGCGGUUUUACUGAAUUACUUAUUCUGUAUCCCUCAACGGAUGGGGACUAGGAAGAUGCUUAAGUCUUGGGACAUGACAUACAAAAAAACAAUAGAUAAAUACCCAGAAGUGAAAUUGUUGGAUCAUAAAGUCGUGAUCCCAACUUUACAGACAAGGAAGCUUUGGCUGGGAAUGGUUCGGUAAGGAGCCUAAAGCAAUGAGUCACAGAACCAACCGGUGUUGGAAACAGUGGUGGCAAGCUCCCCCUGCCCUGCUGCAGGCAUCGCUGGUUGCUUGGAGGACUGAAGAGGCGGUGUAGACAGUUCCGAGGACUGAGAGUUAACCUUGGUGUGGACAUUUGGAUUAAAUGACAUAAAACCUUUAGAAGGCUGUGAAUGAGUUUCUUCAAGAUUGUUACUACCUUUCUCUAAUUCCUCAGCCAGCAAAGUUCCCAAG